UACGAAGGGGGCUAGCGUUGUUCGGAAUUACUGGGCGUAAAGCGCACGUAGGCGGAUGUGCCAGUCAGGGGUGAAAUCCCGGAGCUCAACUCCGGAACUGCCUCUGAUACAGCACGUCUUGAGUUCGAGAGAGGUGGGUGGAAUUCCUAGUGUAGAGGUGAAAUUCGUAGAUAUUAGGAAGAACACCGGUGGCGAAGGCGGCCCACUGGCUCGAUACUGACGCUGAGGUGCGAAAGCGUGGGGAGCAAACAGG
rnacentral:rRNA from 1 species